GUUUUUCUUUUUGUCUUUCUCACACCAUAUAAAACACCACAGAACCCAAUUGACAAAAAAAAAAAAAAAAACCAAGAAGCUUAUUGCAACAAUAGUAACAAAAUUAUCAUCGGCCAGAACCAUGUCUGAAGCACUCAACCCAGUUAGAGAAACUAGUUGAUUUCAAAGGAGGGUUAUUAAAUGACAAAGCCAUUACCUUGGCAACUGAUGUUCCUGAUCCCAUGGCUAUUCCUAUAUCUUCCUUCUUUAAUGUAGGUGCAUCAUUCACUCCUUCCUCUUGAUAAAUAAAAGUUUUAUCUUUCUGGUUAUAAUUACAAAUAUACACAAUUUCCCUAAUCCAAAACCCACAUCCACACGCGCCGCCGUCCCUUUUCAAAACUCUAGAUUUCUUCAAGGAGGAACCCGACUCCCCUCCUCGAUCACGCGCAUAAACGGUCUUCACCACGAUGACCACCAUCGCUUGUAGAUCUAAAACCCCCAAAUCUGUUUGCUUCAAGAUCUGUCGGUGAAAAGAACGGGGAAGUUAGGGUUCUAGAUGUGGAAGAAGGAUUGGGGCUUUUGUGGCUCAUGGCUGUGGAGGCGGUGGUGGCUAGUGGUAGGCUGGUGGUGAGAGAGAUGGGUAGAGAGAGAGAGAGGAUGAGGGGUGAAAAGAAAUAUAUGUAAUAUAAAUAUUAGAAAUAAGUUUAUUUUCAUUUUUUAUUAAAAUAAUUUUA
rnacentral:lncRNA from 1 species